AUACGGAGGGUGCAAGCGUUAUUCGGAAUCACUGGGCGUAAAGGACGCGUAGGCGGGUUGGCAAGUCAGAUGUGAAAUCCUACAGUUUAACUGUAGAACUGCAUUUGAAACUGCUAACCUAGAGUAUGGGAGGGGGAGAUGGAAUUAGUGGUGUAGGGGCAAAAUCCGUAGAUAUCACUAGGAAUACCGAAAGCGAAGGCGAUCUCCUGGAACAUAACUGACGCUAAGGCGUGAAAGCGUGGGGAGCAAACAGGAUUAGAAACCCUAGUAGUCC
rnacentral:rRNA from 1 species